UACGUAGGUGGCAAGCGGUGUCCGGAAUUAUUGGGCGUAAAGCGCGCGCAGGUGGUUUCUUAAGUCUGAUGUGAAAGCCCACGGCUCAACCGUGGAGGGUCAUUGGAAACUGGGAGACUUGAGUGCAGAAGAGGAAAGUGGAAUUCCAUGUGUAGCGGUGAAAUGCGUAGAGAUAUGGAGGAACACCAGUGGCGAAGGCGCCUUUCUGGUCUGUAACUGACGCUGAGGCGCGAAAGCGUGGGGAGCAAACGGG
rnacentral:rRNA from 1 species